rnacentral:rRNA from 1 species
CGAGCGGUAACAGGGGUAGCUUGCUACCCGCUGACGAGCGGCGGACGGGUGAGUAAUGCAUAGGAAUCUGCCCGAUAGUGGGGGAUAACCUGGGGAAACCCAGGCUAAUACCGCAUACGUCCUACGGGAGAAAGGGGGCUCCGGCUCCCGCUAUUGGAUGAGCCUAUGUCGGAUUAGCUAGUUGGUAAGGUAAUGGCUUACCAAGGCAACGAUCCGUAGCUGGUCUGAGAGGAUGAUCAGCCACAUCGGGACUGAGACACGGCCCGAACUCCUACGGGAGGCAGCAGUGGGGAAUAUUGGACAAUGGGGGCAACCCUGAUCCAGCCAUGCCGCGUGUGUGAAGAAGGCCCUCGGGUUGUAAAGCACUUUCAGCGAGGAAGAACGCCUAUCGGUUAAUACCCGGUAGGAAAGACAUCACUCGCAGAAGAAGCACCGGCUAACUCCGUGCCAGCAGCCGCGGUAAUACGGAGGGUGCAAGCGUUAAUCGGAAUUACUGGGCGUAAAGCGCGCGUAGGUGGCUUGAUAAGCCGGUUGUGAAAGCCCCGGGCUCAACCUGGGAACGGCAUCCGGAACUGUCAGGCUAGAGUGCAGGAGAGGAAGGUAGAAUUCCCGGUGUAGCGGUGAAAUGCGUAGAGAUCGGGAGGAAUACCAGUGGCGAAGGCGGCCUUCUGGACUGACACUGACACUGAGGUGCGAAAGCGUGGGU